rnacentral:tRNA from 1 species
GGGGCUGUAGCUCAUCGGUUAGAGCAGGCGGCUCAUAACCACUUGGUAGAUAGUUCAACUCUAUCCAGCCCCACCA